AAUAAAGGCAGAAGCUGAAGCAGUUUCUAAGCAAGAGCAGGAGGAGGAUGAUUUACUGUGAGCUGUAAUGAGAAAUAGACUCCUACUUCCAUAAAUUCAGGAUAGACUUUUUCCCUGGCUCUAAACAGGCAGCUCCAAACCCCAGCAGGAUUUCAGUGUUGGCUCAGGGAAGAGUCAAUGUUUGCUCAGCUCCCUCUUCAAACACUUCCAGCAUUUUGACCACUCCUUUGAAACCCUCCAGUGCUGCUUUGGAGUGUUCUGCUUCCAUGGUGUGUUGAAACAACUGUUAGACAUCUUUGUGACUCUUUAUGGACAGUUUUCCUGCUGGUGCCAUCCCGACUCUGCGGGAUCCCUGACACGGAAAAAGGAUUGAGCGUCGAGUCGUGACAUAACCUCCAUACUUGCAACAACUGGGGGAAUAUAUGUUGAGUUCCACAGCACAUCCUCUGUUUAAAGAUCCCACAGGGAUAUGAAGUAGAUUGGUGAGAUGAUGAGAAGUCCUGUGCACCCAACAGGAGGUGAGUUCUACAAAACUGCUGUUACCUGCAGGUUGUGGAGUUACUCGUGGUGUAAAUCACUGCCCAGUGUGAGGAACAGCCUGGCUCCCAGGUGGGAAUUAAUCUGCAAUCAAGAAAAUCCUGCUGCUCUGUUUCACCUGAGGAAAAAGGGCUUGAACACCACCACAACCCUGACGGGGAGCGACCUAGGAAGGGAAUGAGUCUUGGAUGGUGCCUUUCCAGCUCUUUCAGGGCUUUAGAGAAAAGGAUCUGGCUCCAGUGGAAAUAAAACAAGCAACACAAGGU